AAAGGUAAGCUACUAAGAGCGAAUGGUGGAUGCCUUGACUGGUAAAGGCGAUGAAGGACGUACUAGACUGCGAUAAGCUACGGGGAGCUGUCAAGAAGCUUUGAUCCGUAGAUUUCCGAAUGGGGCAACCCAAUGUAUAGAGAUAUACAUUACCUAUAUAGGAGCGAACGAGGGGAAUUGAAACAUCUUAGUACCCUCAGGAAAAGAAAUCAAUAGAGAUUGCGUCAGUAGCGGCGAGCGAAAGCGCAAGAGGGCAAACCCAGUGCUUGCACUGGGGGUUGUAGGACUGCAAUGUGCAAGAGCUGAGUUUAGCAGAACAUUCUGGAAAGUAUAGCCAUAGAGGGUGAUAGUCCCGUAUGCGAAAAACAAAGCUUAGCUAGCAGUAUCCUGAGUAGGGCGGGACACGAGGAAUCCUGUCUGAAUCCGGGUCGACCACGAUCCAACCCUAAAUACUAAUACCAGAUCGAUAGUGCACAAGUACCGUGAGGGAAAGGUGAAAAGAACUGAGGUGAUCAGAGUGAAAUAGAACCUGAAACCAUUUGCUUACAAUCAUUCAGAGCACUAUGUAGCAAUACAGUGUGAUGGACUGCCUUUUGCAUAAUGAGCCUGCGAGUUGUGGUGUCUGGCAAGGUUAAGCAAACGCGAAGCCGUAGCGAAAGCGAGUCUGAAUAGGGCGCUUAGUCAGAUGCUGCAGACCCGAAACGAAGUGAUCUAUCCAUGAGCAAGUUGAAGCUAGUGUAAGAACUAGUGGAGGACUGAA
rnacentral:rRNA from 1 species